UACGGGGGGAGCAAGCGUUGUUCGGAUUUACUGGGCGUAAAGGGCGCGUAGGCGGCCACCGCAAGUCGAUUGUGAAAUCUCCGGGCUUAACUCGGAAAGGUCAACCGAUACUGCGGGGCUAGAGUGCAGAAGGGGCAACUGGAAUUCUCGGUGUAGCGGUGAAAUGCGUAGAUAUCGGGAGGAACACCAGUGGCGAAGGCGACUACCUGGCCUGUUCUUGACGCUGAGGCGCGAAAGCUAGGGGAGCAAACGGG
rnacentral:rRNA from 1 species